AUACGUAGGGGGCGAGCGUUGUCCGGAAUGAUUGGGCGUAAAGGGCGCGUAGGCGGCGCGGUAAGUCUGGAGUGAAAGUCCUGUUUUUAAGAUGGGAAUUGCUUUGGAUACUGUCGGGCUUGAGUGCAGGAGAGGUAAGUGGAAUUCCCAGUGUAGCGGUGAAAUGCGUAGAGAUUGGGAGGAACACCAGUGGCGAAGGCGACUUACUGGACUGUAACUGACGCUGAGGCGCGAAAGUGUGGGGAGCAAACAGGAUUAGAUACCCUGGUAGUCCACACUGUAAACGAUGAAUGCUAGGUGUAAGAGGUAUCGACCCCUUUUGUGCCGGAGUCAACACAAUAAGCAUUCCGCCUGGGGAGUACGGCCGCAAGGUUGAAACUUAAAUGAAUCGGCGGGG
rnacentral:rRNA from 1 species